rnacentral:rRNA from 1 species
AUACGGAGGGGGUUAGCGUUGUUCGGAAUUACUGGGCGUAAAGCGUACGUAGGCGGAUCGGAAAGUAAGGGGUGAAAUCCCAGGGCUCAACCCUGGAACUGCCUCUUAAACUCCCGGUCUUGAGUUAGAGAGAGGUGAGUGGAAUUCCUAGUGUAGAGGUGAAAUUCGUAGAUAUUAGGAGGAACACCAGUGGCGAAGGCGGCUCACUGGCUCGAUACUGACGCUGAGGUACGAAAGUGUGGGGAGCAAACAGGAUUAGAUACCCUAGUAGUCC